GAUAAACGCUGGCGGCGUGCUUAACACAUGCAAGUCGAACGAAGUUUUUCUUUCGGUAGGAACUUAGUGGCGGACGGGUGAGUAACGCGUGGGUAACCUGCCCUGUACAGGGGGACAACAGCUGGAAACGGCUGCUAAUACCGCAUAAGCCCUUAGCACUGCAUGGCGCAUAGGGAAAAGGAGCAAUCCGGUACAGGAUGGACCCGCGUCUGAUUAGCCAGUUGGCAGGGUAACGGCCUACCAAAGCGACGAUCAGUAGACGAGCUGAGAGGAUGUGCGGGGACAUUGAGACUGGGACGCAGCCCAGAAUCCUACGGGAGGCAGCAGUGGGUAAUAGAGCAACAUGGAGGAAACUCUGAAGCAGCGACGCCGCGAGAGUGAAGAAGUAUGUCGGUAAGUAAAGCUCUAGCAGCAGGAAAGAAAAUGACGGUACCUAACCAAGAAGCACCGGCUAAAUACGUG
rnacentral:rRNA from 1 species